rnacentral:rRNA from 1 species
UACGAAGGGGGCUAGCGUUGCUCGGAAUUACUGGGCGUAAAGGGCGCGUAGGCGGCACUGUUAGUCAGGCGUGAAAUUCCUGGGCUCAACCUGGGGACUGCGCUUGAUACGGCAGAGCUUGAGGAUGGAAGAGGGUCGCGGAAUUCCCAGUGUAGAGGUGAAAUUCGUAGAUAUUGGGAAGAACACCGGUGGCGAAGGCGACUUCCUGGCCUGUUCUUGACGCUGAGGCGCGAAAGCUAGGGGAGCAAACGGG